UGAGGAAUAUUGGUCAAUGGGCGAGAGCCUGAACCAGCCAAGUAGCGUGAAGGAUGACUGCCCUAUGGGUUGUAAACUUCUUUUAUAAAGGAAUAAAGUCGGGUAUGGAUACCCGUUUGCAUGUACUUUAUGAAAAAGCAUCGGCUAACUCCGUGCC
rnacentral:rRNA from 1 species